rnacentral:rRNA from 1 species
UACGGCGGGGGCAAGCGUUAAUCGGAUUUAUUGGGCGUAAAGGGCGCGUAGGCGGGAAGGAAAGUUAGGUGUGAAAGCCCGAGGCUCAACCUCGGAAACGCACCUAAUACUACUUUUCUAGAGGGUAGGCGGAGAAAAUGGAAUUCCACAUGUAGCGGUGAAAUGCGUAGAUAUGUGGAAGAACACCGGUGGCGAAAGCGAUUUUCUAGCUUACUCCUGACGCUGAGGCGCGAGAGCUAGGGGAGCAAACAGG